rnacentral:rRNA from 1 species
CAAAGGUGAGCCAGUACAGGAUGGACCCGCGUCUGAUUAGCUAGUUGGUAAGGUAACGGCUUACCAAGGCGACGAUCAGUAGCCGACCUGAGAGGGUGAUCGGCCACAUUGGAACUGAGACACGGUCCAAACUCCUACGGGAGGCAGCAGUGGGGAAUAUUGCACAAUGGGCGAAAGCCUGAUGCAGCAACGCCGCGUGAGUGAUGAAAGCCUUCGGGUCGUAAAACUCUGUCCUCAAGGAAGAUAAUGACGGUACUUGAGGAGGAAGCCCCGGCUAACUACGUGCCAGCAGCCGCGGUAAUACGUAGGGGGCUAGCGUUAUCCGGAUUUACUGGGCGUAAAGGGUGCGUAGGCGGUCUUUCAAGUCAGGAGUGAAAGGCUACGGCUCAACCGUAGUAAGCUCUUGAAACUGGGAGACUUGAGUGCAGGAGAGGAGAGUGGAAUUCCUAGUGUAGCGGUGAAAUGCGUAGAUAUUAGGAGGAACACCAGUUGCGAAGGCGGCUCUCUGGACUGUAACUGACGCUGAGGCACGAAAGCGUGGGGAGCAAACAGGAUUAGAUACCCUGGUAGUCCACGCUGUAAACGAUGAGUACUAGGUGUCGGGGGUUACCCCCUUCG